GACGAACGCUGGCGGCGUGCUUAACACAUGCAAGUCGAACGGAAAGGCCCUGCUUGCAGGGUACUCGAGUGGCGAACGGGUGAGUAACACGUGGGUGAUCUGCCCUGCACUUCGGGAUAAGCCUGGGAAACUGGGUCUAAUACCGGAUAGGAGCCAUGUUUAGUGUGAUGGUUGGAAAGGUUUUUCGGUGUAGGAUGAGCUCGCGGCCUAUCAGCUUGUUGGUGGGGUAAUGGCCUACCAAGGCGGCGACGGGUAGCCGGCCUGAGAGGGUGGACGGCCACAUUGGGACUGAGAUACGGCCCAGACUCCUACGGGAGGCAGCAGUGGGGAAUAUUGCACAAUGGGCGCAAGCCUGAUGCAGCGACGCCGCGUGGGGGAUGACGGCCUUCGGGUUGUAAACUCCUUUCGCUAGGGACGAAGCUUUUGUGACGGUACCUAGAUAAGAAGCACCGGCUAACUACGUGCCAGCCGCCGCGGUAA
rnacentral:rRNA from 1 species